rfam:Betaproteobacteria bacterium RIFCSPLOWO2_02_FTLL_65_20 rifcsplowo2_02_scaffold_7432, whole genome shotgun sequence.
UCUGGUACCCAUAGCGCUCUGGAACCACUCCUUCCCAUCCCGAACAGGACCGUGAAACGGAGCUGCGCCGCUGAUAGUGCGGGGUAUACCGCGCGAAAGUAGGUCAGUGCCAGAC